AGGGUUUGAUCAUGGCUCAGAACGUACGCUGGCGGCACGCCUUAUACAUGCAAGUCGAACGAAGUAGCAAUACUUAGUGGCAGACGGGUGAGUAACAUGUAGGUAUCUUCCCUUUGGUGAGGAAUAACACGAGGAAACUUGUGCUAAUACCUCAUAAGUCUUUACGGAGAAAGCUUUAUGCGCCAUUGGAUGAGCCUGCACUUGAUUAGUUUGUUGGUGGGGUAAUGGCCUACCAAGACUGUGAUCAAUAGCUGAUCUGAGAGGAUGAUCAGCCACAUUGGGACUGAGACACGGCCCAAACUCCUACGGGAGGCAGCAGUAGGGAAUAUUGCACAAUGGAGGAAACUCUGAUGCAGCGAUGCCGCGUGAGUGAAGAAGGCCUUUGGGUUGUAAAGCUCUUUCGUCGGGGAAGAAAAUGACUGUACCCGAAUAAGAAGGUCCGGCUAACUUCGUGCCAGCAGCCGCGGUAAUACGAAGGGACCUAGCGUAGUUCGGAAUUACUGGGCUUAAAGAGUUCGUAGGUGGUUGAAAAAGUUGGUGGUGAAAUCCCAGAGCUUAACUCUGGAACUGCCAUCAAAACUUUUCAGCUAGAGUUUGAUAGAGGAAAGCAGAAUUUCUAGUGUAGAGGUGAAAUUCGUAGAUAUUAGAAAGAAUACCAAUUGCGAAGGCAGCUUUCUGGAUCAUUACUGACACUGAGGAACGAAAGCAUGGGUAGCGAAGAGGAUUAGAUACCCUCGUAGUCCAUGCCGUAAACGAUGUGUGUUAGACGUUGGAAAUUUAUUUUCAGUGUCGCAGCGAAAGCGAUAAACACACCGCCUGGGGAGUACGACCGCAAGGUUAAAACUCAAAUGAAUUGACGGGGACCCGCACAAGUAGUGGAGCAUGUGGUUUAAUUCGAAGAUACGCGCAGAACCUUACCAACACUUGACAUGUUCGUCGCGACUUUAAGAGAUUAAAGUUUUCGGUUCGGCCGGACGAAACACAGGUGCUGCAUGGCUGUCGUCAGCUCGUGUCGUGAGAUGUUGGGUUAAGUCCCGC
rnacentral:rRNA from 1 species